rnacentral:rRNA from 1 species
GAUGAACGCUGGCGGCGUGCCUAAUACAUGCAAGUCGAGCGAACAGACGAUGAUCUUGCUCCUCUGACGUUAGCGGCGGACGGGUGAGUAACACGUGGAUAACCUACCUAUAAGACUGGGAUAACUUCGGGAAACCGGCGCUAAUACCGGAUAAUAUAUUGAACCGCAUGGUUCAAUAGUGAAAGACGGUUUUGCUGUCACUUAUAGAUGGAUCCGCGCCGCAUUAGCUAGUUGGUAAGGUAACGGCUUACCAAGGCAACGAUGCGUAGCCGACCUGAGAGGGUGAUCGGCCACACUGGAACUUAGACACGGUCAAGACUCCUACGGGAGGCAGCAGUAGGGAAUCUUCCGCAAUGGGCGAAAGCCUGACGGAGCAACGCGGAGUGAGUGAUGAAGGUCUUCGGAUCGUAAAACUCUGUUAUUAGUGAAGAACAAAUGUGUAAGUAACUAUGCACGUCUUGACGGUACCUGAUCAGAAAGCCACGGCUAACUACGUG